UGGUACGCCCAAAGGUCCGACGCGAUUGGUCAGACACUUUGCUAUAAAAACCCACUCGAGCGUUGCCUCUCCCUCUUUCUUUCACACGACGCUCAUAGCUCCCGCCCCACAUUAAAGGAUAUGUGGGUUUUGUCUUCACCAAGAAAGACCUGGCUCUUGGACUGGGUUCUCCUAAA